AGACGUCAUUCUGCUUCCUGUUUGAGGCGGGAUUAGUUUUGUAAACACGCAUUCAAUAUGAUGUGAACUGCAGCAGACUGUAAACACAGCAUUAUCCGCUCAUCUUAUUUGUUUAUCAAGCAGACAUAAAUAACUGGCACAAGUUCACGAUGGCCGCAGAUUCAGCAGAGAACAUCCUCACUGAAAGCAAUGAUGAUAUUCUCAGUCCUGAUGACCUGUCAGAAGUGUUGGCGGCUGGAACCAAGGAAUCUCACGACAGAGCCGAGAACUCGCCAUUUGUCAAGGACUUCCUGAGGGGCCGAAUCAAACGAGAACUUUUUAAGCUUGGCACAACUGGCCUGUACUAUGUUUAUUCUGCCAUUGAGGAAGAGAUCGAGAAGAAUAAGGACCAUCCCAUGUUUGCCCCACUAUAUUUACCCUCUGAGCUUCAUCGGCGAGACGCCUUGGCCAAAGACCUGGAGUAUUUCUACGGUGAAGACUGGGAGAGCAAGAUCUCCUGCUCGGCGGCCACCAGGCCCUACGUAGACCGCAUUCACGAGGUGGGUCGCAACGACCCGGUUCUUUUGGUUGCGCACGCUUGGACCCGCUACAUGGGCGACCUAUCAGGAGGGCAGAUUCUAAAGAAAGUGGCUCAGCGGGCCCUCAAACUGCCCCCUACUGGUGAGGGGUUGAACUUCUACCAUUUCGAGGGCAUCAACAACGCCACGGCCUUCAAGAGGCUGUACCGCAGUCGGAUGAACGAGCUGGAAGUGGAUGCUGAGACCAAAGAGAAGCUGCUAGACGAAGCCAACCUGGCUUUUAAAUUUAAUUUGGACGUAUUCUCAGAGUUGCAGGAGAUUGGGAAAGACAUUAAGGAGGAAGUGCAGGACGUCGGCUUCCCUGCACAUGGGGAUAUGGGUGGAGACAUCAGUAAAUGUCCCUACUAUGCAGCCAAAAUGGCGGUGAGUGGAAACACAACCUACGCAUGUCAGUUUGCUAGGAUGCUGCUUCGACAAUCCACAGUGCAGGUGAUUUUGGCCACAUGGGUCGCUGCUGUUGCCGGAUUGGCUGCCUGGUACCUCAUGUGAUCACCUUUACCCGAGUCAACCAAUCAGAGAUGAAAAUAGGAAAUGGCUGGGCUUCAAAGUGAAAAUGUUAAUGCUGCUGAUCAUAUAAAUGUUAACCCUCAAUCUAUACAACAUGUGUGUAUUAAAUACAAUGCAAGUUUGUAGUCAAACCUGAGAGAGGGGAAAUAAUGUUCUUUAUCCUGUUUUCACUCUCAGUCAAGAGUGUAAGCACACUUUUAAGGGCAUGCAUGAAGUAAAGACAUUGGAGUUGCUUAAAAUGAAACAAUUUAUGUCAGAACUUUAUCUUUUCUGUUGCACAUUGUAAUAUACAUGUUCAUUGAAAAUAUAUACAUCACUGUGCAGUGA